AUACUUACUCCUGCUCACUCACGCCAAAGAACUCCCCGCUCAAGCUCGCCGUCUCUGCAAGAUUAACGAUGGCAGUUUGCACGCACAGCUACUAGAAGAUUUACAUCUGUCAGACAGGUUGCUGACGUCAUCAAGCUUAGUUUGAGUCUGCGCGUCAGAAACGGAAGUGCUAAAAAUCGCUAAAAAUGGGCUUCACUUGUCUCAACUGAGUUCCAAUGGGGUCGCUGUGUCCAUUUCUUUUACUAUGUGUACGUUUUAGUAGGAAAACGUAUUAUCUGAUCCACACUCCGGAACAGAAGAGCGCGGUAAUGCACCAAUAAGCUGGAUGCCAACCGCCGUUAAACUGGAAAGAAGACGAAUAUGACAGCUUGCUGUGAGAGACAACGGUAGUCGUGCUCAUGGGGUGCAGGCACAUGAAAGUUUGGAGCAGACACAGCAAGGUUGUGUGGUUCAGAGAGCCGACAUCAUGGUCUUCCUCAUCCUUUUGCUCAAUGACAUCCCCAUUGAGAAGAGUGAGAUUGUGAAGUGCAGCAGCAGAACUGUAUCAGCUGUGUUCAGAUCGCAGGAGGAUGUUGGGUUCACCAUCUGUAAAUACUUGAUUGUUAGAACAAUAAGUUUGAAUGAAGCUUUGUUUCAUGUGUUGUUAACUUGUACAUGUUUGCAUUUAUUGUGAUGCUAACUUUUAUACAUUGUUUUAAUCAUUUAGACAUGUUUUUUGUUCUCAGUAAAUAAAAUAUAAAUAUUUUAUCCAUUCAUGUAUUAAUUGCUUGACUGAAAAUUGAUGUAUUCACAUCGACUGCAUUUGUUUAACUAGUAUAUAUUCAUAUAUAGCUAUGUCACAAAAGAAAAUACAUUUUGCUUCUUUUACUAAAAUGUAAUUUAAAAAAAAUUAUAUAAUUAUUGGUUGGCAUUUAUCGUUAUUAUUGCAUGUAAGUGUUGGGGUGGUCAAAAUAUGCAAUUCAUUAAGGGGUAAUGUUAAUUUUUGAGUAGUAAUACUUACAUUUUUAGAGUAUAAAAUCAACAAUCUUCUCCAAAGGUGAGAUCUUCGAGCAGCUGAUCGAAGUACCCUUUGUGCAGAUAUUGCAGAGUCGCUGUGAGGUGUUUGUGCACCUGACCCUCUUUUUUAUUAUUAAUGCCAAAUUAUUACAUAAAAGAUCAUGGUAAGACGGUUGUAUCUAACAAUAAACAAUCAUAAUGCCAUAAAUCAGUAAAUUAAAAAAAAAAAAAUUCAUCAUAGUAUGAGAUACUAUACAAGAAAUUUUUUUUUCACGUAAAAUAAUUGAAAAAAAAAAAAUAUUCAAGAGAUAACGAUUUUGGGUUUUCUAAUAAUAAAAAAAAUGCUUCAAGGAUAACACUUGAUCACAUUAGUGGAGUUAAAAAUAUAAAAAAAUUAAAACCAACAGUAUUGGCUAUACUACAAUCACAAAAUAAAAAGGCAGCCGUUUCUGCAACACGACUACAACAUGGGCAAUGUUCUUCAUUAUCAAGAUACUUACAAAUACAUUAAUUAAACCUGUCACUUUUUUAUGUUUAGUUUUUAUGCUUGUUUUAACUUUGUAGGUCACAUGAUCAACAUAGCGGAUGAUGAUAUACAAAUUGCAUUCAUACUUCAUACAUACGCAUUUAGGCUGUAGAGUACUCUUUUAGAGUUCGUUAAGUUAGUACUUAUUGAAAUUAAGUGCCUAAUUAAAGGGUAUGCGGUUUCGAACGCAUCCCGACAAAAUCUCGUUUUGACAUCUCGCGUGGUUCUGUGUGAUUUGAACAACUUCAAGUUACGCCUCCUACUUCAAGUUACGCCCACUUCAAGUUA